rnacentral:rRNA from 1 species
CGAUGAUCCCCCGCUUGCGGGGGUGAUUAGUGGCGAACGGGUGAGUAAUACGUGAGUAACCUGCCCCUGACUCUGGGAUAAGCCUGGGAAACCGGGUCUAAUACUGGAUACGACUCCUCAUCGCAUGGUGGGGGGUGGAAAGGGUUCACUGGUUUUGGAUGGGCUCACGGCCUAUCAGCUUGUUGGUGGGGUAAUGGCUCACCAAGGCGACGACGGGUAGCCGGCCUGAGAGGGUGACCGGCCACACUGGGACUGAGACACGGCCCAGACUCCUACGGGAGGCAGCAGUGGGGAAUAUUGCACAAUGGGCGGAAGCCUGAUGCAGCGACGCCGCGUGAGGGAUGACGGCCUUCGGGUUGUAAACCUCUUUCAGUAGGGAAGAAGCGCAAGUGACGGUACCUGCAGAAGAAGCGCCGGCUAACUACGUGCCAGCAGCCGCGGUAAUACGUAGGGCGCAAGCGUUGUCCGGAAUUAUUGGGCGUAAAGAGCUCGUAGGCGGUCUGUCGCGUCUGCUGUGAAAGCCCGGGGCUCAACCCCGGGUCUGCAGUGGGUACGGGCAGACUAGAGUGCAGUAGGGGAGACUGGAAUUCCUGGUGUAGCGGUGAAAUGCGCAGAUAUCAGGAGGAACACCGAUGGCGAAGGCAGGUCUCUGGGCUGUUACUGACGCUGAGGAGCGAAAGCAUGGGGAGCGAACAGGAUUAGAUACCCUGGUAGUCCAUGCCGUAAACGUUGGGCACUAGGUGUGGGGGACA